rnacentral:rRNA from 1 species
CGAGGAAAGAACCAACAGGGAUUGCCCCAGUACCGGCGAGUGAAGCGGCAACAGCUCAAAUUUGAAAUCCGGCGCCCCCGCGGCGCCCGAGUUGUAAUUUGCAGAGGACGCUUCCGGCGCGGCGCCUUCCGAGUUCCCUGGAACGGGACGCCACAGAGGGUGAGAGCCCCGUCCGGUCGGACGCCAAGCCCGCGUGAAGCCCCCUCGACGAGUCGAGUAGUUUGGGAAUGCUGCUCUAAACGGGAGGUAUAUGUCUUCUAAAGCUAAAUACCGGCCAGAGACCGAUAGCGCACAAGUAGAGUGAUCGAAAGAUGAAAAGCACUUUGAAAAGAGGGUUAAACAGUACGUGAAAUUGUUGAAAGGGAAGCGCUCGUGACCAGACUCGGGCGCGGAGGAUCACCCGGCCCUCUCGCCGGUGCACUCCGCCGCGCCCGGGCCAGCAUCGGCUCGCCGCGGGGGACAAAGGCGCCGGGAACGUGGCUCCCACGGGAGUGUUAUAGCCCGGCGCGCAAUGCCCCGCGGCGGACCGAGGUUCGCGCGUCCGCAAGGAUGCUGGCGUAAUGGUCACCAGCGACCCGUCUUGAAACACGGGCCAAGGAGUCGUCCUCGUAUGCGAGUGUUCGGGUGUCAAACCCCUACGCGCAAUGAAAGUGAACGCGGGUGAGAGCCCCCCGGGGCGCAUCAUCGACCGAUCCCGAUGUUCUCGGACGGAUUUGAGUAGGAGCAUACGGGGCCGGACCCGAAAGAAGGUGAACUAUGCCUGUGUAGGGUGAAGCCAGAGGAAACUCUGGUGGAGGCUCGCAGCGGUUCUGACGUGCAAAUCGAUCGUCAAACAUGGG